rnacentral:rRNA from 1 species
UACGUAGGGGGCUAGCGUUGUCCGGAAUCAUUGGGCGUAAAGAGCGUGUAGGCGGCCAGGUAGGUCUGCUGUGAAAACUCGAGGCUUAACCUCGAGAUGUCGGCGGAAACCAUCUGGCUAGAGUCCGGAAGAGGAGAAUGGAAUUCCCGGUGUAGCGGUGAAAUGCGCAGAUAUCGGGAAGAACACCCGUGGCGAAGGCGGUUCUCUGGGACGGUACUGACGCUGAGACGCGAAAGCGUGGGGAGCGAAUGGG